UACAGAGGGUGCGAGCGUUGUCCGGAAUCACUGGGCGUAAAGGGCGCGUAGGCGGCGCGGUAAGCGUGCGGUGAAAGCCCGGGGCUCAACCCCGGGUCGGCCGUGCGGACUGCCGGGCUGGAGCACUGUAGAGGCAGGUGGAAUUCCGGGUGUAGCGGUGGAAUGCGUAGAGAUCCGGAAGAACACCGGUGGCGAAGGCGGCCUGCUGGGCAGUAGCUGACGCUGAAGCGCGACAGCGUGGGGAAGCAAACAGG
rnacentral:rRNA from 1 species